rnacentral:rRNA from 1 species
GACGGAAGGUGCAAGCGUUGUUCGGAUUUACUGGGCGUAAAGGGUGCGUAGGCGGCCAUCCAAGCGGGGAGUGAAAGCCCGGGGUUCAACUCCGGAAGGUCUUUCCGUACUAGAUGGCUCGAGUCUGGGAGAGGUGAGUGGAAUUCCUGGUGGAGCGGUGAAAUGCGUAGAUAUCAGGAGGAACACCGGUGGCGAAGGCGGCUCACUGGAACAUGACUGACGCUGAGGCACGAAAGCGUGGGGAGCAAACAGG